GUGAAGACAUCACCGUUGGCCUCUCUGCCAAGCACUGAUGAAAUUGCUGCUGGCAUGUUUGCUCAGGACAGGCUUCAGAGACCUCGUUAUCGGCAUGGGAUCAGUGAGGCUGGACUUCAGAGAAGGGCCAGUUAAAUGUUAUUAGGGAUUCAGACAGAAGGAUUGCUAGGGCAGAUUUAAAAUAAGUUAUACCUUGCAUUUAUUUUUUAAACCGUGUCUCAUGAUUAUUGUAGUUCUGCUUUUCAAGAGAGAAGAGGAAGAAUCUGAGCACUGUGGAAAGCCAAGUCCUAAGUGACCCAGCCUGGGCAGCAGCAGCAGCAGAGGUGACAAGAGGCCUCAGCAGAUAAGGUUAUCCUCACUAAACCAGUGGUCUCAUAAGCAAGUGGCUGGAUGAAGCUAUUUUGAGAUUCCAACACAAAACUGGUGUGAACACACUAAGUCUCUGUUCUGAGGUUGUCUAUUAAAAUAAGGAUAUUAAGUAUAUUAAAAUCUACUUCACUUCAGCUGGGUGAUCUCAGCUUAUCAUCACAUAUUUUAUUAAAACACAGUAAGGGCCAGAAACUUCUGAGCAGUCGCUGCGGUUUGUUCACUGCAGCCUCCAGCCUCCGUGUGGGAACAGCUGCUGUGGGAUGUCCCCAGGCCCUUUCAUCUCCAGGAUGGCUUCUCUGUGUCAGGAUGAAACAGCUGGAGUUCAGAACUGUCAAGUUACUGCUGUUUAAUGAGUACCACAUCACUUCAACCACGGAAAUAAGUUGUUUGUGCUCUUACUUCCUGUUGGAAAUGAGAAAUUAACUACCUUGGCUUAAAUCUUUGCAGAUCGAAACUAGCAUGCUUUGUUUUUGCUGGGGACUGAGAGCUUUUAGCUACUGCUCCUGCGCAGGGACUUGUUCAGCUGCCGGGACCACUUAGGUGUCUGAGCCCUUACAUAUAUUUUAACAAGAACUAAAUUAUCUUGGUGUGUACCGGGGACACUUAUCAUUGCUAACAGCUCUCCUUGGCACCAGAAGCUCUUCUAGGCAUAGUGUCUCUGUUCUCAUAAUUAUAGUUACACUACCAACUUGCUAUAAUUAGACAAGUUAAAAAUUCUCUGAGCUCCUACUUAUUGCUGAAACACGCUAAAUUCCGGAUGCAGUUGUCGCUGAGAAAAAACACUUCGAAGCUUUAGCUCCAACAUAGGCAGAAUCCUCACACCCUCCUCUCCUUUCACUUCAAUGGAGCUUUUUGGGUGGACUUAACAUGUGUGGCUGGACUUUGUAAACAGCUCUUCUUGUCUUUUUAUUAUAUACCAGGAGAAGUAUUGGAGGUUCAGUGGAAUGUUUUUUUUAAAGAAUUUCUUUAUGCCACCUCCCACCCUUAAUUGUCAGGUUUUUGUUAUUUUAUUACAACAGUUUUUCACUGAAUGUACUUAUUUCUGUGUUGGGGGCUGCAUAGAGCAUCCUCUGAGACUUGGGAAGAAUAAUCAGUUCACUCCUUUAUUCUGUGCGAAGCAUCUGCGCUCCUCAUCCCUUACCUCUUGCAGAUAGCGGGUGUGAGCUCUGGCACAGCAUGGACAAGCGGUUCUUGCUUUGAACUGCUGCCAAAUUCAAUAAACCGUCAGCUUCGAUGUA